CCUACCUCUAGAAGCCUUGCAGGUGUGGCUUCCGUAUCACAUGUGUACCAGUAGGUGGCAGAAAGAAGAAAGGCUAUCUAUGUCUACAAUCAUUGUUCUGACCUAUGAACAUCUGAAUAAUUAGUAACUUAUCAUU